rnacentral:misc_RNA from 1 species
GCUGCCAGCAAGAUUAUUUUAGUUAUGGAGGGUCUGUAGUUCGUUCUUGUUAUGAUGUUUUGCAUACUACUUAUUCAGUUAUUCUUAAAUCUAAUAAUCUUCUUUAUUUAGUUAUUAUUUCACUAAACAUAUUGUUCAUGCAAAUACUGCAUGUUAUGCCAUUGCAUAUGAAUUUGCCUUUUGCUUGGACUACUUCUGAAAAAUGACAACCAACCAGAAUGCGUUAUUUAAUUUCUUAAGUAGAUGAUGACACUUGGAGUUUGAGAAUCAUUGAUGCACAGUUUUAAUUUAUAUGUUCUGCGCAUAACUUUAUUGGAUGCCAGGAGCUCAAUGGACUGGAAUAG